rnacentral:rRNA from 1 species
CAGCGUAGGGGGCGAGCGUUGUCCGGAUUUAUGGGCGUAAAGAGCUCGUAGGCGGCUCGGUAAGUCAGGUGUGAAAACUCUAGGCUCAACCUAGAGACGCCACCUGAUACUGCCGUGGCUAGAGUCCGGUAGGGGAGCAUGGAAUUCCUGGUGUAGCGGUGAAAUGCGCAGAUAUCAGGAGGAACACCAGCGGCGAAGGCGGCGCUCUGGGCCGGUACUGACACUGAGGAGCGAAAGCGUGGGUAGCAAACAGG